rnacentral:rRNA from 1 species
AAUCAACGCUGGCGGCGUGCCUCAGACAUGCAAGUCGAACGAUUAAGACUUCCUUCGGGAAGUGCAUAAAGUGGCGCACGGGUGAGUAACACGUAAGUAAUCUACCCUCGAGUGGGGAAUAACAGUCGGAAACGACUGCUAAUACCGCAUAAUGCAGCGGCACCGCAAGGUGGCAGUUGUUAAAGGAGCAAUCCGCUUGAGGAGGAGCUUGCGGCAGAUUAGCUAGUUGGUAAGGUAAAGGCUUACCAAGGCUACGAUCUGUAUCCGGUCUAAGAGGACGGUCGGACACACUGACACUGAAUAACGGGUCAGACUCCUACGGGAGGCAGCAGUCGGGAAUUUUGGGCAAUGGGCGAAAGCCUGACCCAGCAACGCCGCGUGAAGGAUGAAGUAUUUCGGUAUGUAAACUUCGAAAGAAUGGGAAGAAUAAAUGACGGUACCAUUUAGAAGCCCCGGCUAACUCCGUGCCAGCCGCCGCGGUAACAC